UCGAGAAUAUUGGUCAAUGGGGGAAACCCUGAACCAGCGACGCCGCGUGCUUGAAGAAGCCCUUCGGGGUGUAAAGAGCUUUUGCCAUUGAACAAGCCGCAAGGCUGAGUGUAAAUGGCGAAUAAGGGGAUGCUAAUCACGUGCCAGCAGCAGCGGUAAUACGUGAUCCCCAAGCGUUAUCCGGAUUUAUUGGGCGUAAAGGGUCCGUAGGCGUUUAAGUUAGUCUAAGGUCAAAAACCUCGGGCUUAACCUGAGGAACGCUUUAGAUACGGCUUAAAUUUGAGGGCGCUAGGGGCUGAUGGAACGGUCGGUGUAGGGGUGAAAUCCGUUGAUAUCGACCGGAACACCAAAAGCGAAGGCAUUCAGCUGGAGCGGCCCUGACGCUGAAGGACGAAAGCGUGGGGAGCAAAAAGG
rnacentral:rRNA from 1 species